GUGUGCAGGCCGGGUGGCGCCCAUGGUGUGCAGGCCGGGUGGCGCCCAUGGUGUGCUGGCCGCACGCUCUGCAGGUUCCCACCGCCCGGCCUCUGCCGUGCACGCGUGCCUCUCAGCGUCGCCAGCCUACUCAUGGGGCCGUGGGCAGUUGCUGGGGUGCCGGCCCUCAGUGGGGUCAGUGCAAAGGUCAGUGCAGACCCUCGGGGCUGCAGGGGCGGCCAUCUGGUCCUACGGACGCCCCUCGGGCAAGCACGGCCUCUGGGCGGCGGGCCCCUGCCUGCUCCUUGGCCCUGGCCCAGACCCCCACACCACAG